rnacentral:rRNA from 1 species
GGACUACUGGGGUAUCUAAUCCCGUUUGCUCCCCUGGCUUUCGCACCUCAGCGUCAGUAAUCAACCAGUGCUCCGCUUUCGCCGCCGACGUUCCUUCCGAUAUCAACGCAUUUCACCGCUCCACCGGAAAUUCCGAGCACCCCUUUGAUCCUCAAGCAAUGCAGUUUCGGGCGCAGUUCCUCGGUUGGGCCGAGGGAUUUCACACCCGACUUACAUCGCCGCCUACGUGCGCUUUAUGCCCAGUGAUUCCGAACAACGCUCGCCACCUUCGUCUUACCGCGGCUGCUGGCAC